rnacentral:rRNA from 1 species
AACGAACGCUGGCGGCAUGCCUAACACAUGCAAGUCGAACGAGACCUUCUGGUCUAGUGGCGCACGGGUGCGUAACGCGUGGGAACCUGCCCUUAGGUUCGGAAUAACUCCCCGAAAGGGGUGCUAAUACCGGAUAAUGUCUUCGGACCAAAGAUUUAUCGCCUUUGGAUGGGCCCGCGUUGGAUUAGCUAGUUGGUAGGGUAAAAGCCUACCAAGGCGACGAUCCAUAGCUGGUCUGAGAGGAUGAUCAGCCACACUGGGACUGAGACACGGCCCAGACUCAUACGGGAGGCAGCAGUGGGGAAUAUUGGACAAUGGGCGAAAGCCUGAUCCAGCAAUGCCGCGUGAGUGAUGAAGGCAUUAGGGUUGUAAAGCUCUUUUACCAGGGAUGAUAAUGACAGUACCGGGAGAAUAAGCUCCGGCUAACUCCGUG